rnacentral:lncRNA from 1 species
AGCUGCUGCUCUCCAGAAGAUUAAACAACUUAGUAAUAGCUCUCUUCCAGUUACAAGUUCAUUCAGUGUAUUGACUCUAUACUUACAGUGUUAAAAUUUGAAACAGUGAAUUUAUGGAUCACUAACUUGCAAAUUAAAAGAAUGCUUCUCCCAGAUUAAGCUGUUAACGUUUACAGCAUACUUGAGGCCACUAGUAACACCUGCUGCAAUUAUAAUUCCAUCAGCCCUGGGCUUCCCUCUGCAGUGGCCAUUCUACCAGUGCUGCUGCAAGAUGCCAGUGGGCAGUGCUCAAGGUGAACAGUAUGAACCAACUUGCUUGUAUAUUGAGGAGUUGAAGGCUCAUACAUCUGUAUGUUCAUGUGCUUGAUUACUUCUAGCAUUGCUGCCAGUAUGCUGUAGCUGAAAUCAGUUGAUGAUAUCAUUCAGAAACCGAAAGCUGGGGGUAAUAUCCAUCUUUCCAGGUGACUGAUCAACUUUCUCCACAAAAGAGUAGGUGCUGCAAGAAUUCCUACAAAACCUUGUAUAUUUUGGGUUUCCAAGGAAUAAAACAAACUUCAUAUUCUACUCCCUGAUCUGCAUUAAUGAAAGUAACAUUCCAAGCCUUUUUUAAUAUACAGAUUUUUUUCUCUUACUAUUGCUUAAUUUUAUUCACACUUGUACAACGAUGUUCUUUCUCAGUGAAGGCCUCUUAGUGGAGUCAAAGUAAUUGUCUUUUGUCUUUGUAUUAAUAAAGUAUUUUUUAAUACAUUUUUUUUUAGCCCAAACCCAUUCAAUCUGGAAAUGGCUAUCUAAAAUAGUUUUUGCAGCUUUCUUUAUCAUUUUCAACUAUGAACUAUUCUCAUACCACAUAUAGACAGAGAUGCAUACAUACACAAUUAAGAGGAAGAUAAUUUGAUAUGAUAUUGUUUCUAGACUGUAAAAUAGUGUUGUGAUGGGUUUUUUUUGUUUGUGUGUUUGUUUGUUUUUUGUUUGUUUGUUUUUAAGUGAUACUGGAAUACCCUCAUUGUCUCUCUCUGUUGUAGAAUGUCAAAGCAAGAGAUAUUUAGUGAAUGGAGUCAAAUCAGCAAGAACAGCUUUUCUGAAAAGAUAUCUGGGAAUGACAGCUUCCAUGGAAAUAAACUCGAGGCAUUACAUAUGAUAUUCCUCUACUGGAGGAGAUGCAUGAGAUACAGAUGUCGAAUCAUUACACUUAUGUCUUGAGUCAGUCUAGUCCAAUAAAGCAAGCUUGAUAAACCUAAU